GACGAACCGUGCGAACGUUAUUCGGAUUCAUUGGGCUUAAAGGGCGCGUAGGCGGACAGGCAAGUCAGGGGUGAAAUCCCACGGCUCACCCGUGGAACUGCUGGGCAUACUGGGCGUCUUGGGCCAACUAGGGGCAGCCGGAACAAGCGGUGGAGCGGUGAAAUGCGUAGAUAUCGCUUGGAACGCCGAAGGUGAAAAACAGGCUGCUGGGGUUGUGCCGACGGCUGAGACACGAAAGCCAGGGGAGCAAACGGG
rnacentral:rRNA from 1 species